UACGUAGGGAGCAAGCGUUGUUCGGAAUUACUGGGCGUAAAGAGUGUGUAGGCGGUGUUCCAAGUCUGGUGUGAAAUCUCCCGGCUUAACUGGGAGGGUGCAUUAGAAACUGGAAUGCUAGAGGAUGGGAGAGGUAAGCGGAAUUCCUGGUGUAGCGGUGAAAUGCGUAGAUAUCAGGAGGAACACCUGUGGUGUAGACAGCUUACUGGACCAUUUCUGACGCUGAGACGCGAAAGCGUGGGGAGCAAACAGG
rnacentral:rRNA from 1 species